rnacentral:rRNA from 1 species
CAGUCGCCGCGGUAAUACGAAGGGUGCAAGCGUUAAUCGGAAUUACUGGGCGUAAAGCGUGCGUAGGCGGUGAGUUAAGUCUGCUGUGAAAUCCCCGGGCUCAACCUGGGAAUGGCAGUGGAUACUGGCUCGCUAGAGUGUGUCAGAGGAUGGUGGAAUUCCCGGUGCAGCGGUGAAAUGCGUAGAGAUCGGGAGGAACAUCAAUGGCGAAGGCGGCCAUCUGGGACAACACUGACGCUGAGGCACGAAAGCGUGGGGAGCAAACAGGAUUAGAUACCCCCGUAGUCCCUGUCUCUUAUAC